rnacentral:rRNA from 1 species
GACGAACGCUGGCGGCGCGCUUUAUGCAUGCAAGUCGAACGAGAACUAGAUCAUUCGUAAGACUGAUUUAGGGACAGUGGCGAACGGGUGCGUAACACGUGAGGAACCUGCCCUGGAGACCGGGAUAGCCCGAGGAAACUCGGAUUAAUACCGGAUACCUUCGGAUGAUCGCAUGGUCGACCGAAGAAACAGUCCGCUGCUCCAGGAUGGUCUCGCGGCCUAUCAGCUCGUUGGUGAGGUAACGGCUCACCAAGGCGAAGACGGGUAGCUGGUCUGAGAGGACGAUCAGCCACACUGGGACUGAGACACGGCCCAGACUCCUACGGGAGGCAGCAGCAGGGAAUAUUGCACAAUGGGCGAAAGCCUGAUGCAGCGACGCCGCGUGCGGGAUGAAGGCCUUCGGGUUGUAAACCGCUUUCAGCAGGGACGAAGAUGACGGUACCUGCAGAAGAAGCCCCGGCCAACUACGUG